CAUUCUAUUUUCCAUGUGUACUUCAAUUCCUUUAUAAGCUGCUAUUUGUUAUGCUUUGCUCAAGUUGAUUGCCUGGUUACGUAGGCUUUUUAACUUACAUUGUUUUCUUGUUGUAUCCUUACAUAUGACCGAGAAUGAAUGGAAGGGGUGUAAGUGUAGUUGUAUGAAUAAUCUACAUAAAUAUUGUUUAAAUUGAACCACCUAUCUAUCUUACUUUUAUAUAUACUAAUCUUAUUUUUAUCUAAAAUUAUUGGUCGGAAGUGCUUACAUAUAUCAAUUGAGAACUCGGAAAAAUAUGUUCACAUGGAGGGUCGAAAGGUAUUUUUAGAGACCUCAAUUACUUGUUUUAUGAUGAAGUGGGAUGGUGGAAGGCAGGAGUAAGGAGCGGAGUUUGAGGUGGACCCAUCAGAAAGAUCACGCCAAUGGAAAGUAAAUAUGGUUUUCAAAAAAUUUGGACAAUGACACGGUUACAACACAUCCACACCCGCUAGUUAUUUGUUUGUUAAGCUUCAUUAUCUAUGACUAACUAGCAGAAUACUUAAUUCAGGUAUUUUUACCAAUUAAUAUCAAAGAAUCACAUGGGUACCUAGCAAAUAUCAAUGGCCACAAAGGCGUAUACAGGGCCAGUUCUUUUCGGCUUCAGCUUCUCUAAAAACAGCUUUAGCUUCUCUACCCCUAGAAACUGUGGUGGAGGGAAGCCGCUGAGAAAAUGUAGUCCAGUUCUUUUCGGCUGCUGCAAUUGUAGCUUAUUAUCUGAGUUUUUUGUCUAAAAAGUCUGUAAUACCCUUGGUCCAAAAUCAGUCUUGGCUAUCUAAUAAAUGAGUUAUUUCAUUCUAGUAAAACAAUAUAUCAUAUAUGGUCAUAUGAGUUAUUUCAUACUAACAAUAUAUUGGUUUUUGGAUAAGAGAAUUAAUAAUUGGUAUGUUCAAAGAAGACAUGUUCAGUUUUUUGUUAGUACUUUGUAAAAAAUCUAUCUAUCAAGUAUCAGUAUAUACUCAAACAAUCUAUGCUGAAAAGUACGGGGGUCGUUCAUUUUAUGCUUUGAGCUCACAUCAUGAGUUCAUAACUCAGGGGACAGAACAGUCAAGAGUACAAGUUUCAGAAUAAAAAAAAAAUUCAGAACAGAAUAUCAGGAACCGGAUCGGAGCUUCCUGGACCACGGCUCCUUUCCCUUGCAGGCGCUCGCAUCUUCCUUGUCGUCGUUGCCGGCCGCGUGUUCCUCCCAGAAGAACUCCUCCACGUUGAGCUCCCCAUGGAGGCAUAGCAUGAGUUGGCCCUUGGCCGAGCAGCAACAGGGGCAGCGGAGGCUUCAUGAGGCGGAGGCUCGAACCAGCAGCACGGACGGCGGCAGGGUACAGGAGGAGGCCGGCGGCCCGAGAGAAGCAGACGGAGGACGUGGCGGCGCCCUGGCCGGAGCAGCCGUGCGGGAGCCCAAGAUCCAAGGCCGCGGGCGCCACGAGAAAGCAGGGCGAGGCGGCGGCCGUUAUCCAGGAGAAGGCGGCGGCGUCAUGGCUUUGUGAGGGAGCGACGGCACGGCAGGGAUUUGUGGGGCGGCGCGGCGGCGGCGGCUUUGGGGUGGAACCCUAAUCGCACUGCAGGAGAGGAGAUUGGAGGAGGAAUCGCGAGGGAUUUACAGGAGAAAAGAAGGACGAACCGAACCAUAUUUACAUCCCUUGGCGUGAUCUUUGUGAUGGGUCCACCUCAAACCCCGUUCCGUUCUCAUGCUUUCCACCAUUCCGCUUCAUCACAUAACAGGGAUGUGAAACCUAAUGCCAUUGCUCCUAAAAGAAUGCCAAUUUAGUGCCUGUUUGGACGAGGUUCGACCUGGUCAUUAGUUAAAAUUGCAGUAGGGAAACAAGCUCUCCUUUAUUCUCCAGUAUAUAAGUGAAUCCAGUCACUAAUGAUAUUAAUUAAAGAAGGUGGUAUUGUAGUUGAAAUUAAGCUUAAGGAACUACAAACAAAAUCAGCUGAAGUAAGGAGAGUGGAGUAUUGUACCUGCCUACCUAGAUGUCAAGGAAGACCCACUAUGGUAAUGUACCUACAAACCUUCUGUUCUUUGUAGAAUGUGUAUCUAAAAUUUCUACACAAAUGAACAAACUGCACAACACCGUGAUCCUGUUCUAGAUCUGCAACCUUGUUUCCGAUGGCAAGUAUCUUUUAUGCGUUCUUUUGACCUGGAGGAACUGAGUCACUGAGCACGGUAACAUCUAUGCUCAACUCCAGGUUAGUCGUAAAGAUUUUCUUUGUUUCACUUUUUAUCACUAUUAUAUCAUUUAUUUGGUUCCAUGUACUUGUAAGAGGAAUUUGUUCACUUUUUAGCUCGUAAUUCUUUUUUAUAGCAACACCAGGAGGGGAGGACCCUACCUAACUCAGUAAAAUAACCCCAAAACAAUGGGGAUGAGAAUACAUUCAGAGACUACAGAACAGAUUUGAGGCAGCACAGAAUUAAAAAUUUAGCUAAUAUUUAGUAUUAAUUAGUAUAUUAGUAUAUAUAUAGGUAAUUUUGUAUGCCAGCUUCUUAGCAUUUUGUGCAAUUAAUUAAUACUUUUUAUAACCGUGUAUCUAGUGAGUAGUAUAUGUUCUGAUCAACCUUUGUCUAGAGUCAUUACAUUCUCUGUAGAAACGAUUUUUGCACAUCAUUCUAUAGCCAAAGGGUUUGUAUAUUUGGCCAUAGUUAUUAACUCACUAACACAAUUUAGUAUAAUGAUGCAGCAUUCCACAUUUUGAUCUGCUGAUGAUUGAGAAAAAUGGUUAAUGAUUGGGAUGUAGUGAUUAAUACCAGAGCUCAAGAUUUUAUGGUAGGGGAUCGGGUAGAGGUAUGGCACAGUUUUUUUAAUUUGUAUAUAUUUGAGAAAUUUUAAUAAUACCAUAAGUUUCUUUCCUCGAGUUACUAUGUCUUUUCUCCUUCUCAAUCGCUUGUGAGAGUUGUGUGCGUUGAUUAAUUGAACAAUACGCAUACUUCUCCCAAAUUGCCAUCUCACUAUGUGUUUUGUAAUAAGAAAAAUUUCUGCCCAACAUAGUAUAUAUGUAAGAACUUCAUUAUUGCUUAAGGAUAGAGGGCUUAAUUUAUUAUAUUUCAAGUGGUUAGAGGAAAGUUUCUAGUGACGAAUACUUCCUGUAAUUAGUUUUCCUAUAGUGCAAUCAUAUAAGAUUGAACAAGACUUCUCAUUGCAAUUUGUGGUUCAUCACAUCCAAGCAGGGGUAAGGAUAUUUUUUGACGGUGAACACUUGCUUGUUAUUUUGGGAGAUACCAGUUCAGAAUUUGUACCUCUGUCCGACUACAUGUAAGGUUGGAGCUUUGAGUCCUACGUAUCUCUGUCCACAACAGGCGUUUUGGUUCUCAGGCUGCUUCCUCUCCAAUUGAUGUUAGGAGAAAACCUCGAUCAUUUUACUUGAUGUAUGAUGCAGUAUGACAGUGAUCUGAACGGUAAUUGUUGUUGCAUUUUUAGGUUGCCUUUACUUGUUCACGAUGUGUGCCUAUUAUUAAUUCGGAGGUGUAAUGACCAAUGAGUAUUUCGUAC